GGCAAAUGCCAUGGGUCCAUUA
rnacentral:siRNA from 1 species